GAACGCUGGCGGCGUGCCUAAUACAUGCAAGUCGAGCGAAUGGAUUGAGAGCUUGCUCUCAUGAAGUUAGCGGCGGACGGGUGAGUAACACGUGGGUAACCUGCCCAUAAGACUGGGAUAACUCCGGGAAACCGGGGCUAAUACCGGAUAAUAUUUUGAACUGCAUGGUUCGAAAUUGAAAGGCGGCUUCGGCUGUCACUUAUGGAUGGACCCGCGUCGCAUUAGCUAGUUGGUGAGGUAACGGCUCACCAAGGCAACGAUGCGUAGCCGACCUGAGAGGGUGAUCGGCCACACUGGGACUGAGACACGGCCCAGACUCCUACGGGAGGCAGCAGUAGGGAAUCUUCCGCAAUGGACGAAAGUCUGACGGAGCAACGCCGCGUGAGUGAUGAAGGCUUUCGGGUCGUAAAACUCUGUUGUUAGGGAAGAACAAGUGCUAGUUGAAUAAGCUGGCACCUUGACGGUACCUAACCAGAAAGCCACGGCUAACUACGUGCCAGCAGCCGCGGUAAUACGUAGGUGGCAAGCGUUAUCCGGAAUUAUUGGGCGUAAAGCGCGCGCAGGUGGUUUCUUAAGUCUGAUGUGAAAGCCCACGGCUCAACCGUGGAGGGUCAUUGGAAACUGGGAGACUUGAGUGCAGAAGAGGAAAGUGGAAUUCCAUGUGUAGCGGUGAAAUGCGUAGAGAUAUGGAGGAACACCAGUGGCGAAGGCGACUUUCUGGUCUGUAACUGACACUGAGGCGCGAAAGCGUGGGGAGCAAACAG
rnacentral:rRNA from 1 species